UACGUAGGGCGCAAGCGUUAUCCGGAAUUAUUGGGCGUAAAGAGCUCGUAGGCGGUUUGUCGCGUCUGCCGUGAAAGUCCGGGGCUCAACUCCGGAUCUGCGGUGGGUACGGGCAGACUAGAGUGAUGUAGGGGAGACUGAAUUCCUGGUGUAGCGGUGAAAUGCGCAGAUAUCAGGAGGAACACCGAUGGCGAAGGCAGGUCUCUGGGCAUUAACUGACGCUGAGGAGCGAAAGCAUGGGGAGCGAACAGG
rnacentral:rRNA from 1 species